AUUGAACGCUGGCGGAAUGCUUUACACAUGCAAGUCGAGCGGCAGCACGGACUUCGGUCUGGUGGCGAGUGGCGAACGGGUGAGUAAUGUAUCGGAACGUGCCCAGUCGUGGGGGAUAACGUAGUGAAAAUUACGCUAAUACCGCAUACGAUCUAUGGAUGAAAGCGGGGGAUCGCAAGACCUCGCGCGAUUGGAGCGGCCGAUAUCAGAUUAGGUAGUUGGUGGGGUAAAGGCCCACCAAGCCAACGAUCUGUAGCUGGUCUGAGAGGACGACCAGCCACACUGGAACUGAGACACGGUCCAGACUCCUACGGGAGGCAGCAGUGGGGAAUUUUGGACAAUGGGCGAAAGCCUGAUCCAGCCAUUCCGCGUGCAGGAUGAAGGCCCUCGGGUUGUAAACUGCUUUUGUACAGAACGAGAAGGUUUCUACUAAUACUAGGAGCUCAUGACGGUACUGAAAGAAUAAGCACCGGCUAACUACGUGCCAGCCGCCGCCGUAA
rnacentral:rRNA from 1 species